AGUGAACGCUGGCGGCAGGCCUAACACAUGCAAGUCGAACGGAUCCUUCGGGAUUAGUGGCGGACGGGUGAGUAACGCGUGGGAACAUACCCUUUGGUACGGAAUAGCCUCGGGAAACUGGGAGUAAUACCGUAUGUGGUCGAGAGACGAAAGAUUUAUCGCCAAAGGAUUGGCACGCGUUGGUUUAGGUAGUUGGUGGGGUAUUGGCCUACCAAGCCGACGAUCCAUAGCUGGUUUGAGAGGAUGAUAAGCCACACUGGGACUGAGACACGGCCCAGACUCCUACGGGAGGCAGCAGUGGGGAUUCUUAGACAAUGGGGGAAACCCUGAUCUAGCCAUGCCGCGUGAUCGAUGAAGGCCUUAGGGUUGUAAAGAUCUUUCAGGUGGGAAGAUAAUGACUGUACCACCAGAAGAAGCCCCGGCUAACUCCGUGCCAGCAGCCGCCGUAA
rnacentral:rRNA from 1 species